UACAACCACUAUCACUGAACAUACAAAUAUCCAUUCAUUUAUACAUCCGUACAUCAUUCACCACAGGUUCAUAUACAGAUUUUGAAUAUAAAUCCACAACUAUCAGUUGAAAUAUUUUCUACUCGAAAACCUGUUUUGAAAUACUAAGUCAAGAAAAAUCAUGAGAAACUCUUUUGAAAGCUGUUUCCCACACGAAAACCUUUUCCUUUUAAAACACGCUACCACAAGGGGUAGAAAACCUUUCUAUUUUACAAACUUUCAAAAAUCCUUUCAUUACAUUCAUGAAAAUCCACAUAUUCAAAUAUAAUAAAAAUACUGAACCAUAUAAACUGUCUAAGCUAUAUCAACAGAAAUAGAGAGGGUAGUAACUAAACCAAUCAUACCGGGUCGGAAGCUCUAUCGACCACUACGAACGCAUCUUAUGUCUCGUCUCAACCCUCACCGCCCGCAAUACCUGAAAAAUGGUGGGGAGGUGAGAACAUGUAAAUAUGUCUCCCCUCCCAGUGGGUACUGGAAGCCGACGAAGGCGAGGAGUACUCACCGAAUCUGUAAGUAAUAAACAAGGUCAUGAGCAGAUAUAACAAAUACAGUAGCUAUAACCUGGAAGGAAAUAGAACAAUAACUGAAU
rnacentral:lncRNA from 1 species